UAAAAAAUAAACUAUGGGUUUUCGUAUCCAACGUUUAACCGUCCGUCUUAUUUAAAAAAUUAUGAAAAAAAUUAAAAAGACAAGUCACAUAUAAAGUAUUAAUCAUAUUUUAUUAUCUAACAACAAUAAAAAUACUAAUUAUAAAAAAAAUUAUAUAAGACGGACAGUCAAACGUUGUACACGGAAACCUAGGGUUUGUUUUUUU
rfam:Oryza rufipogon genomic scaffold, chr02